rnacentral:rRNA from 1 species
UACGUAGGGACCGAGCGUUGUCCGGAAUCAUUGGGCGUAAAGAGCGUGUAGGCGGCUUGUUAAGUCUUGCGUGAAAUCCUCGGGGCUCAACCCCGAGCGGUCGUGAGAAACUGGCAGGCUAGAGUGCGGGAGAGGAGAGUGGAAUUCCUGGUGUAGCGGUGAAAUGCGCAGAUAUCGGGAGGAACACCAGCGGCGAAGGCGGGCACCUGGGCCACACUGACGCUGAUGCGCGAAAGCUA